rnacentral:rRNA from 1 species
UACGGGAGGCAGCAGUAGGGAAUCUUCGGCAAUGGACGAAAGUCUGACCGAGCAACGCCGCGUGAGUAGAGAAGGUUUUCGGAUCGUAAAACUCUGUUGUUAGAUAAGAACAAGGACGUUAGUAACUGAACGUCCCCUGUCGGUAUCUAACCAGAAAGCCACGGCUAACUACGUGCCAGCAGCCGCGGU